rnacentral:lncRNA from 10 species
GAAUUUCCCUCAACCUUAAGAAGAGAUGGAAUGUUCAUAAUGAGGAAGAAGUCUUCUGAUUUUCUAAAUAGGUAAUCACAACACAGAAGAGUGAAGAAGGACACAGGCUCUUAGCCACCAUGGCCUAAAACUGUCCCACACCUCUUCAACUCACAUCCUACUGUCCACAACCAGUCAUCAGUCAUGUGCAACGUUCACACAUAAAAGCCCUGGAAAAUGAAGGCCAGUGAUUUGCCUAGGAAAAGUAGUAAGUAGAUUUGGUGCCAGUCACAGGUGGAGACUCGAUUGCUGCUAUUAGACCUCUGUUCUAAAUAGCAGGCAUAAGGAACAGUAAGUGG